rnacentral:rRNA from 1 species
CAGCAGCCGCCGCGGGAAUACGUAGGGUGCAAGCGUUAAUCGGAAUUACUGGGCGUAAAGCGUGCGCAGGCGGUUUUGUAAGACAGAGGUGAAAUCUCCGGGCUCAACCUGGGAACUGCCUUUGUGACUGCAAGGCUGGAGUGCGGCAGAGGGGGAUGGAAUUCCGCGUGUAGCAGUGAAAUGCGUAGAUAUGCGGAGGAACACCGAUGGCGAAGGCAAUCCCCUGGGCCUGCACUGACGCUCAUGCACGAAAGCGCGGGGAGCAAACAGGAUUAGAUACCCCUGUAGUCCCUGUCUCUUAUAC